rnacentral:lncRNA from 1 species
UUUAACUUUAAUAAAGUAAUAACUUUAAUAAAGCUUAGAAAUUUCAUUGACUGUAGAUAAAAUGAGAGUACAAUAUAAAUCUGGGAGAACAAGAGCUUUGAAAAAGUGUUUCCCGUUUUCCUUAGGAGCUGGCUGAGUGACCUGAACUGUACCUGAUGGGAUGAGCCUUGUAGUCCCACCUGGCUUUGCAACUGGAAGAACAUAUCCAUCACCUGCACGACACUGCUAAUCUCCCAGUACAUAAUUGACAGCUUAAGUGGAGAGAACAGCAUGACGCUCACUGCAGAACAGCAACAACAACAGCAAAUAUUUAAAGGACUUGCUGGGAAAUGGUUGCAUUUAAUAUGCCUGAGAUCUUGUUCUUUUCUGAGAGGAAAGCAGACCCAUGAUCUUGGUCUCUUACAGAGCGACAACUUAGAGGAUUAAAGGAAUCUGCUGAGGACUUUGCUUCUGCUAAAAAUGUCGUCAUAGAAAUGGGCUCCACAGUAAGUACUGUAGUGGCACAAAAGUAUGGUACAGGCAGAGGGUUGCAACAUAAUACAUUUAAAAUUGAUUUUGGAAGGCAUUUUUUGUUAAAAAUAGAGGUGUUCUAGAACCUAAUAUAAGUGUCAUCCAAAAGAGAGAAUAAAGCAGAUCAAUGUCCGCUCA